rnacentral:rRNA from 1 species
GACGAACGCUGGCGGCGUGCUUAACACAUGCAAGUCGAGCGGAAAGGCCCUUUCGGGGGUACUCGAGCGGCGAACGGGUGAGUAACACGUGAGUAAUCUGCCUCUGGCUUCGGGAUAGCCACCGGAAACGGUGAUUAAUACCGGAUAUGACGCAUCACUGCAUGGUGUGUGCGUGGAAAGUUUUUUCGGCCAGGGAUGUGCUCGCGGCCUAUCAGCUUGUUGGUGGGGUAAUGGCCUACCAAGGCUUCGACGGGUAGCCGGCCUGAGAGGGUGACCGGCCACACUGGUACUGAGACACGGCCCAGACUCCUACGGGAGGCAGCAGUGGGGAAUAUUGGACAAUGGGCGGAAGCCUGAUCCAGCAACGCCGCGUGAGGGAUGACGGCCUUCGGGUUGUAAACCUCUUUCAGCACAGACGAAGCGCAAGUGACGGUAUGUGCAGAAGAAGGACCGGCCAACUACGUGCCAGCAGCCGCCGUAAAAC